ACUUAGAUUACCAUUGGAACACAGCCAAAUGUAUUGAGUUAGACCACUUUUGGUAAAUGUCCAUCCUCUUUUAACUGAUAUCAAAAUGAAUUCGUGGUUGAAAAGUAAAAUAAUUGGCAACUUAAAAGGGACAUGGAAAGACCAUCCAGAGGAGGAGUUUCAGAAAGUAUUUAAGCAGUGGAAACAUUGACUCACUAAGUGCAUUGGUGUGCAGAGAGACUACUUUGAAGGUGACAGCAACCAUUAGUAUAUCCCCAACCUUUCAGUUGGCUUGAUCUAUGGACAUUUGGUAGGACUCCUUGGACGAGGG